rnacentral:rRNA from 1 species
UGUUUGAUGUUCUAACGUGGACCCGUGAUCCGGGUUGCGGACAGUGUCUGGUGGGUAGUUUGACUGGGGCGGUCUCCUCCUAAAGAGUAACGGAGGAGCACGAAGGUUGGCUAAUCCUGGUCGGACAUCAGGAGGUUAGUGCAAUGGCAUAAGCCAGCUUGACUGCGAGCGUGACGGCGCGAGCAGGUGCGAAAGCAGGUCAUAGUGAUCCGGUGGUUCUGAAUGGAAGGGCCAUCGCUCAACGGAUAAAAGGUACUCCGGGGAUAACAGGCUGAUACCGCCCAAGAGUUCAUAUCGACGGCGGUGUUUGGCACCUCGAUGUCGGCUCAUCACAUCCUGGGGCUGAAGUAGGUCCCAAGGGUAUGGCUGUUCGCCAUUUAAAGUGGUACGCGAGCUGGGUUUAGAACGUCGUGAGACAGUUCGGUCCCUAUCUGCCGUGGGCGCUGGAGAACUGAGGGGGGCUGCUCCUAGUACGAGAGGACCGGAGUGGACGCAUCACUGGUGUUCGGGUUGUCAUGCCAAUGGCACUGCCCGGUAGCUAAAUGCGGAAGAGAUAAGUGC